CCCUUAGAUGUCCUGGGCCGCACGCGCGCUACACUGAUGCAUGCAACGAGUUUAUAACCUUGGCCUGAAAGGUCUGGGUAAUCUUUUGAACGUGCAUCGUGAUAGGGAUAGAUUAUUGCAAUUGUUAAUCUUGAACGAGGAAUUCCUAGUAAACGCGAGUCAUCAGCUCGCAUUGAUUACGUCCCUGCCCUUUGUACACACCGCACGUCGCACCUACCGAUUGAAUGGUUCGGUGAAGAUCUCGGACUUCGAUAUUUAUUCUUUAUUGAGUUUAUAUUGUGGGAAGUUAUCUAAACCUCAUCAUUUAGAGGAAGGUGAAGUCGUAACA
rnacentral:rRNA from 1 species